GCCAGACUCCUACGGGAGGCAGCAGUGGGGAAUAUUGCACAAUGGGGGAAACCCUGAUGCAGCAACGCCGCGUGGGUGAAGGAGCGUUUCGGCGCGUAAAGCCCUGUCAGCGGGGAAGAAGAAAGACGGUACCCGACCAAGAAGCCCCGGCUAACUACGUGCCAGCAGCCGCGGUAAUACGUAGGGGGCGAGCGUUAUCCGGAAUUAUUGGGCGUAAAGGGUGCGUAGAUGGCAUAGUAAGUCUUUUGUAAAAAUGCUGGGCUCAACCCAGUAGGGCAAAAGAUACUGCAAAGCUAGAGUAUGACAGAGGCAAGUGGAACUACAUGUGUAGCGGUAAAAUGCGUAAAUAUAUGUAAGAACACCAGUGGCGAAGGCGGCUUGCUGGGUCGAUACUGACAUUGAGGCACGAAAGCGUGGGGAGCAAACAGGAUUAGAUACCCCUGUA
rnacentral:rRNA from 1 species